UACGUAGGGUGCGAGCGUUGUCCGGAAUUACUGGGCGUAAAGAGCUCGUAGGUGGUUUGUCGCGUUGUUCGUGAAAUCCCACGGCUUAACUGUGGGCGUGCGGGCGAUACGGGCAGACUGGAGUACUGCAGGGGAGACUGGAAUUCCUGGUGUAGCGGUGGAAUGCGCAGAUAUCAGGAGGAACACCGGUGGCGAAGGCGGGUCUCUGGGCAGUAACUGACGCUGGAGGAGCGAAAAGCGUGGGGAGCGAACAGG
rnacentral:rRNA from 1 species